rnacentral:rRNA from 1 species
GAUGAACGCUAGCUACAGGCUUAACACAUGCAAGUCGAGGGGCAGCAUGGUCUUAGCUUGCUAAGGCCGAUGGCGACCGGCGCACGGGUGAGUAACACGUAUCCAACCUGCCAUCUACUCUUGGACAGCCUUCUGAAAGGAAGAUUAAUACAAGAUGGCAUCAUGAGUUCACAUGUUCACAUGAUUAAAGGUAUUCCGGUAGACGAUGGGGAUGCGUUCCAUUAGAUAGUAGGCGGGGUAACGGCCCACCUAGUCUUCGAUGGAUAGGGGUUCUGAGAGGAAGGUCCCCCACAUUGGAACUGAGACACGGUCCAAACUCCUACGGGAGGCAGCAGUGAGGAAUAUUGGUCAAUGGGCGAGAGCCUGAACCAGCCAAGUAGCGUGAAGGAUGACUGCCCUAUGGGUUGUAAACUUCUUUUAUAAAGGAAUAAAGUCGGGUAUGUAUACCCGUUUGCAUGUACUUUAUGAAUAAGGAUCGGCUAACUCCGUG